rnacentral:rRNA from 1 species
AGGGGCGGACAGAACAGUCGGUGGAGCGGUGAAAUGCGUAGAUAUCGACUGGAAUGCCGAUGGUGAAGACGGUCCGCUGGGCUUGACCUGACGCUCAUGCACGAAAGCGUGGGGAGCAAACAGGAUUAGAUACCCUGGUAGUCCACGCCGUAAACGAUGCACAUUAGACCGGUGCGGUUUUGACGCCGUAUCGGUCGUAGGAAAACUGAUAAAUGUGCCGCCUGGGGAGUACGGUCGCAAGGCUAAAACUCAAAUGAAUUGACGGGGGCUCACACAAGCGGUGGAGCAUGUUGCUUAAUUCGAGGCAACGCGAAGAACCUUACCUGGGUUUGACAUGCUUGGAUUAACCCCGUGAAAGCGGGGCCACACCCUCCGGGUGGAACAAGCACAGGUGCUGCAUGGCUGUCGUCAGCUCGUGCUGUGAAGUGUCAGGUUAAGUCCUUUAACGAGCGCAACCCCUAUCGUUAGUUGCUCACGGGUCAUGCCGAGUACUCUAGCGAGACUGCCGGUGUCAAACCGGAGGAAGGUGGGGAUGACGUCAAGUCCUCAUGGCCCUUACAUCCAGGGUUGCAAACGUGCUACAAUGGCGCGCACAAAGCGACGCAAGAGCGCAAGCUGGAGCAAAUCGCAAAAAACGCGCCCCAGUUCGGAUUGCGGGCUGCAACUCGCCCGCAUGAAGUCGGAAUCGCUAGUAAUCGGAGAUCAGCUACGCUCCGGUGAAUGUGUUCCUGAGCCUUGUACACACCGCCCGUCACGUCAUGGGAGCCGGGAGUGCCCGAAGUCGCCACAGCACUGUGGUGCCUACGGCAAGAUCGGUGACUGGGACGAAGUCGUAACAAGGUAGCCGU